UACGUAGGGUGCGAGCGUUAAUCGGAAUUACUGGGCGUAAAGCGUGCGCAGGCGGUUUUGUAAGUCAGAUGUGAAAUCCCCGGGCUUAACCUGGGAACUGCGUUUGAAACUACAAGGCUAGAGUGUGGCAGAGGGGGGUGGAAUUCCACGUGUAGCAGUGAAUGCGUAGAGAUGUGGAGGAACACCGAUGGCGAAGGCAGCCCCCUGGGUUAACACUGACGCUCAUGCACGAAAGCGUGGGGAGCAAACAGG
rnacentral:rRNA from 1 species